UUUCCUUCGGGACGCAGAGACAGGUGGUGCAUGGUUGUCGUCAGCUCGUGUCGUGAGAUGUUGGGUUAAGUCCCGCAACGAGCGCAACCCUUAUGGUCAGUUACUACGCAAGAGGACUCUGGCCAGACUGCCGUUGACAAAACGGAGGAAGGUGGGGAUGACGUCAAAUCAUCAUGCCCUUUAUGACUUGGGCUACACACGUACUACAAUGGCGUUAAACAAAGAGAAGCAAGACCGCGAGGUGGAGCAAAACUCAGAAACAACGUCCCAGUUCGGACUGCAGGCUGCAACUCGCCUGCACGAAGUCGGAAUUGCUAGUAAUCGUGGAUCAGCAUGCCACGGUGAAUACGUUCCCGGGCCUUGUACACACCGCCCGUCACACCAUGAGAGCCGGGGGGACCCGAAGUCGGUAGUCUAACCGCAAGGAGGACGCCGCCGAAGGUAAAACUGGUGAUUGGGGUGAAGUCGUAACAAGGUAGCCGUAGGAGAACCUGCGGCUGGAUCACCUCCUUUCUAAGGAG
rnacentral:rRNA from 1 species